rnacentral:rRNA from 1 species
AUACCGGCUGCUCGAGUGAUGGCCACUAUUACUGGGUUUAAAGCGUCCGUAGCUUGACUGUUAGGUCUCUUGGGAAAUCUUUUGGCUUAACCAAAAGGCGUCUAAGAGAUACCGGCAUUCUUGGAACUGGGAGAGGUAAGCCGUACUUCGGGGGUAGGAGUGAAAUCUUGUAAUCCUCGAGGGACGACCUAUGGCGAAGGCAGCUUACCAGAACAGCUUCGACAGUGAGGGACGAAAGCUGGGGGAGCAAACGGGAUUAGAUACCCCGGUAGUCCCAGCCGUAAACAAUGUGCGUUAGGUGUGUCGGUUACCACGCGUAACUGAUGCGCCGAAGAGAAAUCGUGAAACGCACCACCUGGGAAGUACGGUCGCAAGGCUGAAACUUAAAGGAAUUGACGGGG